UACGUAGGGGGCUAGCGUUGUCCGGAUUUAUUGGGCGUAAAGAGCGUGUAGGCGGCCAGGUAGGUCUGCUGUGAAAACUCGAGGCUCAACCUCGAGACGUCGGCGGAAACCAUCUGGCUAGAGUCCGGAAAGAGGAGAGUGGAAUUCCUGGUGUAGCGGUGAAAUGCGCAGAUAUCAGGAAGAACACCCGUGGCUAAGGCGGCUCUCUAGUACGGUACUGACGCUGAGACGCGAAAGCGUGGGGAGCGAACAGG
rnacentral:rRNA from 1 species